rnacentral:rRNA from 1 species
AUUGAACGCUGGCGGCAGGCCUAACACAUGCAAGUCGAACGAGUGGCGGACGGGUGAGUAAUGUCUGGGAAACUGCCCGAUGGAGGGGGGUAACUACUGGAAACGGUAGCUAAUACCGCAUACCAUCGGAUGUGCCCAGAGUGGAGUAGCGAGUAGGUGGGGUAACGGCUCACCUAGGCGACGAUCCCUAGCUGGUCUGAGAGGAUGACCGGCCAAACUGGAACGGAGACACGGUCCAGACGCCUACGGGAGGCAGCAGUGGGGAAUAUUGCACAAUGGGCGAAAGCCUGAUGCAGAACUGCCGGGUGUAUGAAGAGGGCCUUCGGGUGGUAAAGUACUUUCAUCGAGGAGGCGUUACUCGCAGAGAAAGCACCGGCUAACUCCGUGCCAGCAGCCGCGGUAAUUC